UGUAAACUGUCGGGCUGAAUCCUCAGUGGUAUGCAAGUCAGACUUGCUUCCAUUGAGCAAAUAGAAGCACGCAGAUGAAAGGCUGCAUUGAGAAGACAUGAGACAAGUCCACAGGCUUCUCCUUCCUGCUCAGCUCGGCAGGCCGAGAACCGCAUGCCAGACCUAACAACUGCGUCUGAUGGCCAUCCUCUGGCUUAACUUCCGCCCUGGCUAGUGGCCACUUGGCCUUGCUCAAGCAGUGCCUGCAAACCUCAUCAUGUGCUCUCUGGCUGGAAGCGGCCAUCCUCCCCAGGCAGAACUGAAGUUCACUGAGGACUUCCGGAAGAAAAGCCCAGCGACAUACUAAUGCGAGGUAAACAUGGAACUGCUUUCUGACCCCCAGAUGCGGCGCUCAGGCCUUGGAUCAGCACAGGGGCUGCACCAUGAGUCUCACCCUGACAACGUAGAACUCAGCUCUUGCUUCUCUCCAGGAACACGUCGUCACGCUGAGUUCCUAAGUCCUCACCACCUCCUCUAAUACCAACUGGCCAUAAAGUGGGGGAAAGAAGCACAUCAAACUCAGGCCUGCUCAGGUCCAGCAUACAGGAUGGUGUUUCCCGUAAAAGCAAAAGGAAAACAUGGCCCCUCGUCCUGGAGCCACCCCGUAAUCCCAAGCAGUCAUCUCGCUUUCCUUCACUGCCGUUCCUUCAUCAUCAAAAUGCCAUAUUUGAGGACCAUAGCUGAAGUAGCCAAGUAACAUUAUCCAAUCAAGGGGAGCACCAUCUAAUGGUCACAGAGGCUGCGGCGUCGGCAGCCACACGUGUUUCGUGGAACGCACUCCCGUGCCUGAGCAAGCAGGAAAACACGCGAGGGAAAUGAUCCGGCUGAGAAUGAACUGCAAACUGAUGAGCACGCAGUUGCUAAUGCAGUGUUUAUUAUUUUUUACUACAAUAAAAAUUAACCUGUACACCA
rnacentral:lncRNA from 1 species